rnacentral:rRNA from 1 species
AGCGAACGCUGGCGGCAGGCUUAACACAUGCAAGUCGAACGCCCCGCAAGGGGAGUGGCAGACGGGUGAGUAACGCGUGGGAAUCUACCCAUCCCUACGGAACAACUCCGGGAAACUGGAGCUAAUACCGUAUACGCCCUACGGGGGAAAGUGUUAUCAGGGAUGGUUGAGCCCGCGUUGGAUUAGCUAGUUGGUGGGGUAAAGGCCUACCACGGCGACGAUCCAUAGCUGGUCUGAUAGGAUGAUCAGCCACAUUGUGACUGAGAAACGGCCCAAAUUCCUACGGGAGGCAGCAGUGGGGAAUAUUGGACAAUGGGCGCAAGCCUGAUCCAGCCAUGCCGCGUGAGUGAUGAAGGUCUUAGGAUUGUAAAGCUCUUUCACCGAUGAAGAUAAUGACGGUAGUCGGAGAAGAAGCCCCGGCUAACUUCGUGCCAGCCGCCGCCGUAA